UUAUUUAAAAGUAUGUAGUGGAAAGCGUUGGCUUGCCCCUUUUAGCAACAUGGAAAAAAAAAACAAAACAGUAUAGUGAGGCAUCUGAUGCAGAGCAAUGAACCUGUAAGUAAAAGGAAAUCCUGCUCAAUGAAUAAUGAAGUGGAUGGCAUGAAGAUGAUGGCCAGGGGUGCUGGAGUCAAGGAUCUGCUUAAAAUAGUUCAUGUGGUCUGACUGAUAUCUCUUUUUGUGAAGAUCAUUUCAUAUUCUGACAGUGUACCUUGGAGCACUGCAGCCCCCCUCAGCUUGACAUCAUCUGUAUAUUUUGUUGCACAUGAAGAUGCAAGGAGAGACUGGAAAAAGCCAAUCCUAAAUCAAACAAGUUACAGUAUAUAGAUGUAAAGCGAUGACAGCCAGAGAGUAGGACCAGCCCAAGCUCCUUGUCACCCUCUCACCAAAAUGCAGAGUCCAGGAUCCUGUUCAUUUCCUCACUUGUCCCCACUUCAGCCCCAGCUGCUCCUGCUUCCAACUUUGUGGAAAGCGUAAAGAAGUGAGAUCUCUUCAGACAAGUUUUGGUGCUUAAAUAGAGCGAAGAUUGUACAUGACCAGAUUUUGUCUUACACUACUCAGAUUCAUCUGCCAUCACCACCGCAAAAUUGAAGGGAAAACAAGUACAGCUUUCUGCAUAUUUAAAUUCUUCUUAAAAGCAAACAUAAAUAUGUAAGGAAAAUAAUUCUGCUGCCAUUACACUGUUCUAAAUCAUGGAUAGAGUUUAUCAUUGGAAAGUAAAGCUGAGAGUGAAAAUUGCCUCUUCUUUAGUGGCAGAAAAGACGUCAUUCUAUCUUAUGAGAUAUCGUUUUUACAUGCAACGUGUAACAAAGCUUCCAGUGACAGUCUUCAUGCCACUAAAGAAAGUAUACAGAGCAUAGAAGUUGCCAGAAAACUGACUUUCUGAUGCUUCCAGUCAGUGUUACUGAAGGUAGAACACAUCAAAUUUUCUUCAGAAGUCCUGAGAACUAUUGGUCUCAGGAUUGGUACUAUUGGUAUAAAUGAGAUCAAAGAAAGGGAUUGUAUAGCACAGUUCAUCUGUCCCAUUCGUAGAUUCAUAUUGUUUAGUUGAAGUACAGAAGGAGAAAGAGAUUGCUUGAAGGACCAUACUGAGUGCCAGGACUGCUAUUUAGAUCACAAUUUGUACUGUUUAUAUCAGAACUGUGGUAUUUCUUCCAUAAUUUUGCUAAUUAUUCUACAGAUGCCACAACUGGGAGUUUGUUUAUAAUUCAAUACCUAAGCUUUCCUCUGAUUAAUUUUAUUCUUACUGCUAAUUCUUCGUUCUCUUCCCCCUUCCCUAGGGUUCAGACAAGGCUGAAUUUCCUCGUGGGCGAUUAGCAAACUGGUCCAUAAAAAUUAAAAUGACCCUGAGUGUUAAUCCUUCACUUAAAACACAUUAAAUUUGAAACUGGUAGGAGAAUUCAGGGUGCCUAAAUGUUUAGAAGUAUUGAAAUGGUGGGAGCUUAUCUGUAUAGAGGACAUUUUUGGCAUCACAGCACUGGCAGUCUCAGUGGAUAUGAUUCAGAUGAGGAAUAAUCUUGGAAGAAAUCAAGUAGAUCCAAGCUCUAAAAAUCUUUAGGACAUUUCAAACUAGUUUUCUCUUUUGAAAAAGUAUUCCCAUCAACCAGAAUCUAUUCUGUUGACCCUUUCCAUGUCUAAACCUAAUGAGCUAGAAGAAGAAAAAAACACCCGAAGUGCCAAACUGUAGGCAGACUUCUCUGACGAAAAGAUGCUGGAAGCUCCUGGAAGGCUCUUAGAGCCCUGCUGCAUUUCAACUGGAAGGCACUCAUGUCUUAGAGAAGGCCUAGUAUUUUUUUAUUUUUUUUUACCAGAGGGGUGCAAAAUCUGAGCAUUAAUGAGAUCUUUUAAUGGGGUAAAUCAGAGUAACAACUUCUAGUCCAUGGCUGCUGCUCUGUCUCUUGCACAGUCUGCAUGGGCUCUGCGGGGAAAUAAAAUCUUGCACAAGGUCUCACAGUGUCUGCUUUCUGUAUCUGCAGCAAAGCAGUAAAAGGUGGCUGUCUCCCUGAAGAUAGAGGCAGAUUGCUCUUCAUUGAGAAGCAGCACACAGAAUGAGCAAACCCUCUCCUCUUCUCAGUACCAUUAGCUACAUACCCCCCAGUAAGUAAUGUUAAUUUAUACAGGGCUGCCUAAUGAAAUCAGUGUUCAUGCAGUGAUCUUACGCUUUACAACUGCUGCUAAAGGCUAUUUGACCAUACUUUCCAGAGGUCAGUGCACAAAAUCAUAGCUGAAAGAAAAAGGCACUAGAGUAAUUUGCUCUGUCCAAUAAGGAUUGCGGUGACCUUCCUUUUAAGAGAGUUUUAACCUGGUUAUUGCUGAUAUGCUUUAAGUUAUCUUAAGAAAUGGUGUUUUUUACCUGUGAUUCAGGCAAAGAAUUCCAGCCUCUUUCUGCAAUGCUUUUUCCACUGCUACUAAGUGGUACUUAUUUUUCAACCAAGUUUAAACAAAUGGCUACUCCUUUACAGGAAAUAAAUAUACAGCAGUGACAAUAAAAAUUACCCACUGUCUGUGAUGAAGGGGGAUCAGAAAAAAUUGCUGCUGAGCUAACAGCACUCAACAGGAUCCCUGGCCUGAGCUAGGAGUGUAACCCAAACAGGAGUAGAUCAGCACCUACGUGCAGGUUGCAGUUUGGAUCGUGACCUGUGGAACAGGAUGCCUUUUUCCAAGGGAUCACAUAUUCACAAAUGAAUAUCAGGAAGGGUUAUUUGAUAGCCCCACAGGGCAAUUGCCAAGAAAGCUGAGACACAGAAUCACUAACUAAAUGCAUGGCAGUAACACAUCUGGGAUAAAUCCAAAUACUUCAUCUUAGUGAAGAUGUCUUUUUAUCCUUGCACAUCUGCUUUGAUAGUACUUUUGUGUCCGUACAGGCUUAGACAUCAGAAAUUUUGUGUCCCAAAGCCUAGUGAAAAAAAACCUUGUGCUUGAGUUGCUUAAUGUAUUUUUUGCUUAUCUUUAUGGUUUGUAGCCAUCAAGUUACUGUGUCCUUAGGAAAGUUAUGUCUUGACUGCUAGGAACUUGCCAGAUGCAGGUGUGAUCUGUUGCUUCAUAACUGACGAAAUCUCAUAAGUUAAUGAAAUUUUGGCAAACAGUGCAGCAUUGGCUGAAUAAUCCAUUGUGUCAUGUCAGUCUGUUCCUACAGCCUAUUGCAGGGUUUCAACCAGCUACCUUGUUUUGCAUACCUCAUUUCUAGAUGGGUAAAAUCACCUCAUCUGAGAGUUUUUUUUUUAAUGGUGCUGCCUGUACAACAUUUAUAUUACUUGUAUGUACUCUGUGGAUAGGAACUAACACAUCUGAGUCCUAAAAACAGCCCCACUGGGAGGUGGGAGGAAAAUCAAAUUUUCAAAUGAUGCAUAACAUUAUGAGAAAUAGGAGUCACUAUGUAACAGAAAUAUAUUUUCCUCAGACAGAGACUAUUAUUAAUGUGUCUAAGGGAAGUAAACACAUGCCCCAGAUUUCCUAGUUUAGAUGCAUUUAUAUUUUCUUAAAUAUUCUUCAUGUAUUUAAAUCAGUUUGAGAUGUGAGCUAAGUAUUUUAUAAAGGAUAUGUUGGUCAAAAAUGUUGAAGUUAAUGUCGCUGGAUAGUUUCCAUCCUCAAAUCUCUCUUCAUUCAAACUUCAGUUUCUCUUAAAGUCAUUUUAGACUACUGAUGGCAUCCUUUUUUAUUAUUAUUAUUUCUUACAUUUUUGAGAAAUGAAAGACAAUACCUCUUCAUGUAUUUUUUUUUCUUUUGUCCUUUUUUUUAAUCAACAUAUAUUACAGGUAUAUUUAUAUAUCUGUGUUUUGGCAGUAUUUGGGAACAAAAAAGACCUGGGAAAGAAAAUAG